rnacentral:rRNA from 1 species
GAUGAACGCUGGCGGCGUGCCUAAUACAUGCUAGUCGAGCGAACAGAUAAGGAGCUUGCCCCUUUGACGUUAGCGGCGGACGGGUGAGUAACACGUGGAUAACCUACAUAUACGACUGGGCUAACUUCGGGAAACCGGAGCUAAUACCGGAUAACAUAUUGAACCGCAUGCUUCAAUAGUGAAAGGCGGCUUUGCUGUCACUUAUAGAUGGAUCCGCGCCGUAUUAGCUAGUUGGUAAGGGAACGGCUUACCAAGGCAACGAUACGUAGCCGACCUGAGAGGGUGAUGGGCCAGACUAGAACUGAGACACGGUCCAGACGCCUACGGGAGGCAGCAAUAGGGAAUCUUCCGCAAAGCGCGAAAGCCUGACGGAGCAACGCCGCGUGAGUGAUGAAGGUCUUCGGAGCGUAGAGCUCUGUUAUCAGGGAAGAACAAAGGUGUAAGUAACUGUGCACAUCUUGACGGUACCUUGUCAGAAAGCCACGGCUAACUACGUG